GAUGUGGACAGGGAACAGGCAGCCUCUCCAUCCUCCAGUGCCCUGAGGAGCAGCCUCCAGAGGAAGAGGAGUUGCCAGUCUCCCUGGCCUGCCAGGAAAAGAUAUAACAGAGUGCUGAAAAGUUUGAGUCCCCUGACGCCUAUCUUCCCAGCUGAAGUCGAACAAGGCAACGCUCCGCCUUCUUGUUUCAGGCCAGGCGCGGUGGCUCAUGCCUGUCAUCCCGGCACUUUGGGAGGCUGAGGCAGGCGGAUCACCUGAGGAGCCUGUGUGAAAUGCAGCAAAGGGGUGUUUGGGGCUGGCCAGGCCUGUCAGGCCAUGGGGAACCUCUACCAUGACACAUGCUUCACCUGUGCAGCUUGCAGCCGGAAGCUGAGAGGAAAAGCCUUUUAUUUUGUCAAUGGCAAAGUGUUUUGUGAAGAAGACUUCCUGUACUCUGGUUUCCAGCAGUCGGCUGACAGGUGUUUUCUUUGUGGACAUCUGAUCAUGGACAUGAUCCUGCAAGCCCUGGGGAAGUCCUACCACCCCGGCUGUUUCCGCUGUGUCAUCUGUAAUGAGUGUUUGGAUGGGGUGCCCUUCACCGUGGACUCAGAGAACAAGAUCUACUGUGUCCGAGAUUACCACAAGGUGCUGGCCCCCAAGUGUGCAGCCUGUGGGCUUCCCAUCCUUCCACCUGAGG
rnacentral:sRNA from 1 species